rnacentral:rRNA from 1 species
AUUGAACGCUGGCGGCAUGCCUUACACAUGCAAGUCGAACGGCAGCACGGGGCAACCUGGUGGCGAGUGGCGAACGGGUGAGUAAUGCAUCGGAACGUGCCAUUGAGUGGGGGAUAACGUAGCGAAAGUUGCGCUAAUACCGCAUAUUCUGUGAGCAGGAAAGCAGGGGACCGCAAGGCCUUGCGCUCUUUGAGCGGCCGAUGUCAGAUUAGCUAGUUGGUGAGGUAACGGCUUACCAAGGCGACGAUCUGUAGCGGGUCUGAGAGGAUGAUCGCCACACUGGAACUGAGACACGGUCCAGACUCCUACGGGAGGCAGCAGUGGGGAAUUUUGGACAAUGGGCGCAAGCCUGAUCCAGCCAUGCCGCGUGAGUGAAGAAGGCCUCGGGUUGU